AUUCUCUGGCAUGGCUUUGCUGAAUUUCUGAUUUUUCUCUACCACUUAUCAAUGUCCAGAAGUUGAAAGCCAAGUUAUCUUCAUGGUGUAUCCCUCUUACUGGUGUUCCCAAUAGUGACAAUACAUUAGCCACCAGUGGCAAAGAAUGCUCUCUAUGUGGAGAUUGUCCCACUGUGCCUCACACCACAGGAUGUGAGCAUAUCUUCUGGUGUUUCUGUGCUAAAAGUAGUUUAUUACUUGACAUGUACUUUACUUGCCCUAAGGGUGGCACAGAAGUACAUAAGUCUGCAGCCACUGAAAUCAGGAAUUGACAUGUCAGAGGUAAAUGCUU
rnacentral:lncRNA from 1 species